UACGUGAGGGGCGAACGUUGUUCGGUGUCACUGGGCUUAAAGGGUGCGUAGGUGGUUGCGUAAGUAACGUGUGAAAUCCCUCGGCUUACCCGGGGAAUUGCAUGUUAUACUGCGUGACUUGAGGACUAAAGGGGAAAAGGGAACUCCAGGUGUAGCGGUGAAAUGCGCAGAUAUCUGGGGAAGGCCGGCGGCGAAGGCGGGUCUCUGGGCCGAUACUGACGCUGAGGAGCGAAAGCGUGGGGAGCGAACAGG
rnacentral:rRNA from 1 species